UACGUAGGGGCCAAGCGUUGUCCGGAUUUAUUGGGCGUAAAGAGCUCGUAGGCGGUUCGGCAAGUCAGCUGUGAAAUCUCCACGCUCAACGUGGAGGGGUCAGCUGAUACUGCUGUGACUUGAGUCCGGAAGAGGAGAGUGGAAUUCCUGGUGUAGCGGUGAAAUGCGCAGAUAUCAGGAAGAACACCCGUGGCGAAGGCGGCUCUCUGGGACGGUACUGACGCUGAGACGCGAAAGCGUGGGGAGCGAACAGG
rnacentral:rRNA from 1 species